UUUUAUGAGAGUUUGAUCCUGGCUCAGGACGAACGCUGGCGGCGUGCCUAAUACAUGCAAGUCGAACGCUUCUUUUUCCACCGGAGCUUGCUCCACCGGAAAAAGAGGAGUGGCGAACGGGUGAGUAACACGUGGGUAACCUGCCCAUCAGAAGGGGAUAACACUUGGAAACAGGUGCUAAUACCGUAUAACAAUCGAAACCGCAUGGUUUUGAUUUGAAAGGCGCUUUCGGGUGUCGCUGAUGGAUGGACCCGCGGUGCAUUAGCUAGUUGGUGAGGUAACGGCUCACCAAGGCCACGAUGCAUAGCCGACCUGAGAGGGUGAUCGGCCACAUUGGGACUGAGACACGGCCCAAACUCCUACGGGAGGCAGCAGUAGGGAAUCUUCGGCAAUGGACGAAAGUCUGACCGAGCAACGCCGCGUGAGUGAAGAAGGUUUUCGGAUCGUAAAACUCUGUUGUUAGAGAAGAACAAGGA
rnacentral:rRNA from 1 species